UACGAAGGGGGCUAGCGUUGCUCGGAAUUACUGGGCGUAAAGCGCACGUAGGCGGAUUGUUAAGUCGGGGGUGAAAUCCUGGAGCUCAACUCCAGAACUGCCUUCGAUACUGGCGAUCUCGAGUUCGGGAGAGGUGAGUGGAACUGCGAGUGUAGAGGUGAAAUUCGUAGAUAUUCGCAAGAACACCAGUGGCGAAGGCGGCUCUCUGGAACGCAACUGACGCUGAGACGCGAAAGCGUGGGGAGCAAACAGG
rnacentral:rRNA from 1 species